rnacentral:rRNA from 1 species
AUUGAACGCUGGCGGCAGGCUUAACACAUGCAAGUCGAGCGGGGUGAUGGAGCUUGCACUAUCACUUAGCGGCGGACGGGUGAGUAAUGCUAGGAAUCUGCCUAUUAGUGGGGGACAACAUCUCGAAAGGGAUGCUAAUACCGCAUACGUCCUACGGGAGAAAGCAGGGGAUCACUUGUGACCUUGCGCUAAUAGAUGAGCCUAAGUCGGAUUAGCUAGUUGGUGGGGUAAAGGCCUACCAAGGCGACGAUCUGUAGCGGGUCUGAGAGGAUGAUCCGCCACACUGGGACUGAGACACGGCCCAGACUCCUACGGGAGGCAGCAGUGGGGAAUAUUGGACAAUGGGGGGAACCCUGAUCCAGCCAUGCCGCGUGUGUGAAGAAGGCCUUGUGGUUGUAAAGCACUUUAAGCGAGGAGGAGGCUCUUUUGGUUAAUACCCAAGAUGAGUGGACGUUACUCGCAGAAUAAGCUCCGGCUAACUCUGUGCCAGCAGCCGCAGUAA